AUACGGAGGAUGCGAGCGUUAUCCGGAUUUAUUGGGUUUAAAGGGUGCGUAGGCUGUGCGUUAAGUCAGGGGUGAAAUGCCGUCGCUCAACGACGGAGCUGCCCUUGAUACUGGCGUGCUGGAGUACGGAUGCCGUUGGAGGAAUGAGUGGUGUAGCGGUGAAAUGCUGAGAUAUCACUCAGAACACCGAUUGCGAAGGCAUCAUGAGAAUCCAUCACUGACGCGCAGGCACGAAAGCGUGUGAAUAGAACAUGAUUAGAUGCCCUGGUAUUCCACGCCGUAAACGUUGAUGACUAACCGUCGGCGAUAGACAGCCGGUGGCCAAGCGAAAGCGAUAAGUCAUCCACCUGGGGAGUUCGUCGGCAACGAUGAAACUCAAAGGAAUUGACGGGG
rnacentral:rRNA from 1 species